rnacentral:rRNA from 1 species
GACGAACGCUGGCGGCGUGCCUAAUACAUGCAAGUAGAACGCACAGUUUAUACCGUAGCUUGCUACACCAUAGACUGUGAGUUGCGAACGGGUGAGUAACGCGUAGGUAACCUGCCUGGUAGCGGGGGAUAACUAUUGGAAACGAUAGCUAAUACCGCAUAAUAUUGAUUAUUGCAUGAUAAUUGAUUGAAAGAUGCUAUUGCAUCACUACCAGAUGGACCUGCGUUGUAUUAGCUAGUAGGUGAGGUAACGGCUCACCUAGGCGACGAUACAUAGCCGACCUGAGAGGGUGAUCGGCCACACUGGGACUGAGACACGGCCCAGACUCCUACGGGAGGCAGCAGUAGGGAAUCUUCGGCAAUGGACGAAAGUCUGACCGAGCAACGCCGCGUGAGUGAAGAAGGUUGUCGGAUCGUAAAGCUCUGUUGAAAGAGAAGAACGGGUGUGAGAGUGGAAAGUUCACACUGUGACGGUAUCUUACCAGAAAGGGACGGCUAACUACGUG